rnacentral:lncRNA from 1 species
GGCAUGUCUAGGAUUGGAUCCAAUCAAGAGCUUGGUACUUAAGCAACCUUCAUGGCUCACCUCCUCUGUUUCGGAUACCUACCUGGUGCACAGCUUCCAUUCACUUUAUUAACUUAGCAAAGACUAUCUUUUAAAACACUAAGAAGGACGUUGAAAGAGGCAUGGGUUUUCUUAAAAACUUCAAUGUGACACGUCAGAUUCGGCCAUAACGUCUAGGCCGGGUUUAGGGUGUUACACUACCAGUGCUAAAAAGUCACACUCCCUCUGUGGAGCUAUCAGAACUCUCAAACUAUCCCUUAGUCCAUCCUUGAAGUGGACACAACGCUCAUAUUCAGUCCCCACCAUUCCUCGCGCAUAGCUGCUCAAUCUCAG